rnacentral:rRNA from 3 species
GGGUGUGACUGCGUACCUUUUGUAUAAUGGGUCAGCGACUUAUAUUCUGUAGCAAGGUUAACCGUAUAGGGGAGCCGCAGGGAAACCGAGUCUUAACUGGGCGUUAAGUUGCAGGGUAUAGACCCGAAACCCGGUGAUCUAGCCAUGGGCAGGUUGAAGGUUGGGUAACACUAACUGGAGGACCGAACCGACUAAUGUUGAAAAAUUAGCGGAUGACUUGUGGCUGGGGGUGAAAGGCCAAUCAAACCGGGAGAUAGCUGGUUCUCCCCGAAAGCU